rnacentral:tmRNA from 1 species
GGGGAUGUUUUGGUUUUGACAGCAAUUGAUUCCGGAAUGUAAGCACGUCGAGCGCUGAGAUGGCGGCUCGUUAAUCCCGACACUCAAGCCUUAAACGGCAACGAAAAUUUUGCACUCGCUGCGUGAUUUACAAGGUAAAUCUGCUUAAUUUCGACACACAAGGUGAGCCGAAACGAGAAUCCCGUCAGGCAGUUCCGCCUCUUAAUUGCAUGAUAUAUGGGGUUUCAUUUAUUUGAGGAUAGUUUGUUCGAUUCCUUUAAGAGCAAAUGAAAUUUUAAAGGAUAAGGAAUAAAUUUGAUUGUUUUCUAUCUGAUUUAUUCACGAAAAAACAAAGAAAACUAAACGUGUAGAAAGCAUUUGGGUGCGUUGUUUGGACGCGAGUUCGACUCUCGCCAUCUCCACUU